rnacentral:rRNA from 1 species
AUUGAACGCUGGCGGAAUGCUUUACACAUGCAAGUAGAACGGCAGCACGGACUUCGGUCUGGUGGCGAGUGGCGAACGGGUGAGUAAUGUAUCGGAACGUGCCCAGUCGUGGGGGAUAACGUAGUGAAAAUUACGCUAAUACCGCAUACGAUCUAUGGAUGAAAGCGGGGGAUCGCAAGACCUCGCGCGAUUGGAGCGGCCGAUAUCAGAUUAGGUAGUUGGUGGGGUAAAGGCCCACCAAGCCAACGAUCUGUAGCUGGUCUGAGAGGACGACCAGCCACACUGGAACUGAGACACGGUCCAGACUCCUACUGGUGGCAGCAGUGGGGAAUUUUGGACAAUGGGCGAAAGCCUGAUCCAGCCAUUCCGCGUGCAGGAUGAAGGCCCUCGGGUUGUAAACUGCUUUUGUACAGAACGAAAAGGUUUCUACUAAUACUAGGAGCUCAUGACGGUACUGUAAGAAUAAGCACCGGCUAACUACGUGCCAGCCGCCGCAGUAA